UGAGGCAGGAGAAUUGCUUGAACCCAGGAGGUGGAGGUUGCAGUGAGCCGAGAUCGUGCCACUGCACUCCAGCCUGGGUGACAGAGCGAGACUC
ensembl:miRNA